rnacentral:rRNA from 1 species
GAUAAACGCUGGCGGCGCGCCUAAUACAUGCAAGUCGAGCGAACGGACGAGAAGCUUGCUUCUCUGAUGUUAGCGGCGGACGGGUGAGUAACACGUGGAUAACCUACCUAUAAGACUGGGAUAACUUCGGGAAACCGGAGCUAAUACCGGAUAAUAUUUUGAACCGCAUGGUUCAAAAGUGAAAGACGGUCUUGCUGUCACUUAUAGAUGGAUCCGCGCUGCAUUAGCUAGUUGGUAAGGUAACGGCUUACCAAGGCAACGAUGCAUAGCCGACCUGAGAGGGUGAUCGGCCACACUGGAACUGAGACACGGUCCAGACUCCUACGGGAGGCAGCAGUAGGGAAUCUUCCGCAAUGGGCGAAAGCCUGACGGAGCAACGCCGCGUGAGUGAUGAAGGUCUUCGGAUCGUAAAACUCUGUUAUUAGGGAAGAACAUAUGUGUAAGUAACUGUGCACAUCUUGACGGUACCUAAUCAGAAAGCCACGGCUAACUACGUGCCAGCAGCCGCGGUAAUACGUAGGUGGCAAGCGUUAUCCGGAAUUAUUGGGCGUAAAGCGCGCGUAGGCGGUUUUUUAAGUCUGAUGUGAAAGCCCACGGCUCAACCGUGGAGGGUCAUUGGAAACUGGAAAACUUGAGUGCAGAAGAGGAAAGUGGAAUUCCAUGUGUAGCGGUGAAAUGCGCAGAGAUAUGGAGGAACACCAGUGGCGAAGGCGACUUUCUGGUCUGUAACUGACGCUGAUGUGCGAAAGCGUGGGGAUCAAACAGGAUUAGAUACCCUGGUAGUCCACGCCGUAAACGAUGAGUGCUAAGUGUUAGGGGGUUUCCGCCCCUUAGUGCUGCAGCUAACGCAUUAAGCACUCCGCCUGGGGAGUACGACCGCAAGGUUGAAACUCAAAGGAAUUGACGGGGACCCGCACAAGCGGUGGAGCAUGUGGUUUAAUUCGAAGCAACGCGAAGAACCUUACCAAAUCUUGACAUCCUUUGACAACUCUAGAGAUAGAGCCUUCCCCUUCGGGGGACAAAGUGACAGGUGGUGCAUGGUUGUCGUCAGCUCGUGUCGUGAGAUGUUGGGUUAAGUCCCGCAACGAGCGCAACCCUUAAGCUUAGUUGCCAUCAUUAAGUUGGGCACUCUAAGUUGACUGCCGGUGACAAACCGGAGGAAGGUGGGGAUGACGUCAAAUCAUCAUGCCCCUUAUGAUUUGGGCUACACACGUGCUACAAUGGACAAUACAAAGGGCAGCGAAACCGCGAGGUCAAGCAAAUCCCAUAAAGUUGUUCUCAGUUCGGAUUGUAGUCUGCAACUCGACUACAUGAAGCUGGAAUCGCUAGUAAUCGUAGAUCAGCAUGCUACGGUGAAUACGUUCCCGGGUCU